rnacentral:misc_RNA from 1 species
CACGGCAAUGGCAAACAACAAUUUAAUAAAAAAAAAAUAAUAAGGAAAGCAUCAAAAAGAUGCCCUUAAGGUUCAAAUAUGAACAAAUCUUUUCGACCUAGUAAAAUUAAAUGUCUACUCAUUUUUUUCCACCGGAGAUGUUACACCGGCACAGAGGGCAAGAGUUGCAGUUAGAUAGCCAGGAGGAGAUACAACCUGCAUGGUAGAC